rnacentral:rRNA from 1 species
CUUGUCUUCUAAAUAAAGACCAGUAUGAACGGCUAAAUGAGGACAAACCUGUCUCAUAUAACUAAUCAGUGAAACUGAUCUCUCAGUACAAAAGCUGAGAUAUAAACAUAAGACGAGAAGACCCCGUGGAGCUUAAAAUUAACCACUACUUUUACGUCCUAGUAUUCUAUUUUAAGUUGGGGCGACUUCGGAAUAAAACAAAACUUCCGAGCACAGAACCACACCUUCUAACCAAGGCCAACAAGCCAAACAAAACCGACCCGGCCUAGCCGACCAACGAACCAAGUUACCCCGGGGAUAACAGCGCUAUCUUCUUCAAGAGUCCCUAUCAACAAGAAGGUUUACGACCUCGAUGUUGGAUC